GAUGAAGAACGUAGCGAAAUGGGAUACUUGGUGUGAAUUGCAGAAUCCCGUGAACCAUCGAGUCUUUGAACGCAAGUUGCGCCCGAAGCCAUUAGGCCGAGGGCACGCCUGCCUGGGCGUCACACGUCGUUGCCCCCCCAUCUACUCCUUCGGGAUUGCGGGGGGUGGAUGAUGGCCUCCCGUGCGCCUCGCCGCGCGGUUGGCAUAAAUGCCAAGUCCUCGGCGACGCACGCCACGACAAUCGGUGGUUGCGAAACCUCGGUUGCCCGUCGUGUGCGGUCGUCGCGCAUCGAGGGCUCGAAAAAAUUGCCGGGUUCCGGCUCGGCUUUCAACGCGACCCCAGGUCAGGCGGGGUUACCCGCUGAAUUUAAGCAUAUCAAUAAGCGGAGGA
rnacentral:misc_RNA from 1 species